UGUCUAAACUAAUAUCUAAACCAUUCUAUUAACAGAUCAGCAAGAGGAUCCCUUCAAAUGGAUUUACUACAACUUCAGUUUUUAUUAUAUUUCAUCUGAGAAGAAGAGCUGGAGUGACAGCAGCAGAGACUGUCAACAGAAAGGAGCAAAUCUGGUGAUCAUAAACAGUUCAAAGGAACAAGAUUUUGUACAAAAGAUUGCUGUUUCUGAUCAUUUUUGGAUUGGUUUGGGAAAGAUGGAGGGAGAAUGGAAAUGGAUUGGUGGCACCAUAAUGGCAAAUGGGUACUGGAGUUCUCAGUAUCUGCAUUCAUAUGGUUCAUACUGUGCUCUGAUUACUUCAUCAGGUUGGAUAGAUGAUAAAUG